AUGGAGAGGAUGCAGCUGCAAGGCCCCAUCAUCACCUCCCUGUGCUGGGCGGACCAGGCGGCGGCAAGCGCCAGCGCGGCGCAGGUGCCUUUCUUGGCGCUGCUCCAGGGCGCCGCCAUGGGGGACGGCGGACCAGGGGUGAAGCGGGAGUCUUACGGCGCCGCCGCGUGCCGGCCGGCUGCGUCCGACGUCGACCUUCUCGAGAGCUGCGUCACGCAGCUGCCGGUUCCCCCGGUGGUCGAGGCGCCGGCGGCGAAGCGGAGGAAGCGGCCGCGGGCGCGCCCGCGCGCGCCUCCGCCGGAGAAGCGCAAGAAGCCGGAGGAGGCCGAGUGCCAGCGGAUGACGCACAUCGCCGUCGAGCGCAACCGCCGCCGCCUCAUGAACGACCACCUCGCCUCCCUCCGCGCCCUCAUCCCCUCGGAUUACAUCCCACGAGGUGACCAAGCGACGGUGGUGGGGGGAGCCAUCGACUACGUGAAGCAGCUGGAGCAGCAGCUGGUGGCGCUGCAGGCGUUGGCGGCGGCGCAGCGCGGCGAGGGGCCCGUUGGGACGGCGGCCACAGCGGCGUCGGACGGCGUGUUCGUGUCGCCGCAGUACACGAGCUUCUCCCAGGCCGGCGGCGUCGGCAGCGGCGUGGACGUGGAGGCGAUGGCCGCGGUGGGGGGCCACGUGCGGCUGCGCGUCGCGGGGAGGCGGUGGCCAGGGCGGCUCGUGCGCGCCGUGGCCGCCAUGGAGAACCUGCGCAUGGCCGUGCUGCACCUCGCCGUCACCUCCGUGGGCCACGACGCCGUCGUCUACUGCUUCAACCUUAAGAUGGAGGACGGGUGCGAGGUGUCGACGGCGGACGAGGUGGCCACGGUGGUGCACCAGAUCUUCGCCUACGCCGCCGGCUCAUGCUGCUAG
rnacentral:rRNA from 1 species